rnacentral:piRNA from 1 species
UCCAAGGACAUAUUUUAUUGCUGAUACCCA